rnacentral:rRNA from 1 species
AUGCGCCUCCCGCCCAACACCCGCCGCCGGCUCCGCCUCGUCUGCCGGCACUGGCGCGACAUCGUGGGCACGCGCACCGCCACGAACCUGCGGAGCCGCGCCAAGAUACUCGUCGCCGCGACGGGCACUGCGUACGUCAUCGACAACCUAUCUGCGCCAGUGAAGCCCAGAGACGUGGUCGGCACCUGCAACGGCCUCAUCUGCCUGUGUGAUGACCAGAAGCUCGGCGGCCCCAUCACCGUGGCCAACCCUGUCACCAGCGAAGCGCUGCGCAUCCCGCCGCUGCCGCCGCCGCGGCCUGGCGCCGACAUGUGCUUUGACAGGAGCUGGCACGCGGCCUACAGCUUCGCGUACCUCCCGACUUCGGGACUGUACAAGAUCGUGCACGUCCCGUGCCACCUGAACGGGUCCGUCUACGACAUGGUGCACGUGAUUACGCUGGGGGAGGCAUCCUGGCGGGGUGUGCCGGCCGGCUCGGGCGCGAGAUGCAGCCUCGGUGACAACGUCGUCAGUGUCGACGGCGUGACUACUGGACCACGCCGGAGACCGACAAGGUUAUGUCGUUCGACCUCGAGGACGAACGCAUCACGCCCAUCAUGUUACUACCUUCCGUAG